AUUGAACGCUGGCGGCAGGCUUAACACAUGCAAGUCGAGCGGAGCGAGGGUGCUUGCACCUUAGCUUAGCGGCGGACGGGUGAGUAAUGCUUAGGAAUCUGCCUAUUAGUGGGGGACAACAUUCCGAAAGGGAUGCUAAUACCGCAUACGCCCUACGGGGGAAAGCAGGGGAUCACUUGUGACCUUGCGCUAAUAGAUGAGCCUAAGUCGGAUUAGCUAGUUGGUGGGGUAAAGGCCUACCAAGGCGACGAUCUGUAGCGGGUCUGAGAGGAUGAUCCGCCACACUGGGACUGAGACACGGCCCAGACUCCUACGGGAGGCAGCAGUGGGGAAUAUUGGACAAUGGGGGGAACCCUGAUCCAGCCAUGCCGCGUGUGUGAAGAAGGCCUUUUGGUUGUAAAGCACUUUAAGCGAGGAGGAGGCGCUCUAGGAUAAUACCCUAGAUGC
rnacentral:rRNA from 1 species